rnacentral:rRNA from 1 species
AUUGAACGCUGGCGGCAUGCCUAACACAUGCAAGUCGAACGAGUGGCGGACGGGUGAGUAAUGUCUGGGAAACUGCCUGAUGGAGGGGGAUAACUCCUGGAAACGGUAGCUAAUACCGCAUACCAUCGGAUUUGCCCAGAUGGGAUUAGCUAGUAGGUGGGGUAAAGGCUCACCUAGGCGACGAUCCCUAGCUGGUCUGAGAGGAUGACCAGCCACACUGGAACUGAGACACGGUCCAGACUCCUACGGGAGGCAGCAGUGGGGAAUAUUGCGCAAUGGGCGAAAGCCUGAUGCAGCCAUGCCGCGUGUAUGAAGAAGGCCUUCGGGUUGUAAAGUACUGUCAGCGGGGAAGCGUUACCCGCACAGGAAGCACCGGCUAACUCCGUGCCAGCAGCCGCGGUAAUAC